rnacentral:rRNA from 1 species
CGGUUGAUCCUGCCGGACCCGACUGCUAUCAGAGUGGGACUAAGCCAUGCGAGUCAACGCAGCAAUGCGUGGCAUACGGCUCAGUAACACGUAGUCAACAUGCCCAGGGGACGUGGAUAACCUCGGGAAACUGAGGAUAAACCGCGAUAGGCCAAGGUUUCUGGAAUGGACACUGGCUGAAACCUAUAUGGCCCCUGGAUUGGACUGCGGCCGAUCAGGCUGUUGGUGAGGUAAUGGCCCACCAAACCUGUAACCGGUACGGGCUUUGAGAGAAGGAGCCCGGAGAUGGGCACUGAGACAAGGGCCCAGGCCCUAUGGGGCGCAGCAGGCGCGAAAAUUCUGCAAUAGGCGAAAGCUUGACAGAGUUACUCUGAGUGAUGCCCGCUAAGGGCAUCUUUUGGCACCUCUAAAAAUGGUGCAGAAUAAGGGGUGGGCAAGUCUGGUGUCAGCCGCCGCGGUAAUACCAGCACCCCGAGUGGUCGGGACGAUUAUUGGGCCUAAAGCAUCCGUAGCUUGUUCUGCAAGUCUUCCGUUAAAUCCACCUGCUCAACAGAUGGGCUGCGGGAGAUACUACAGGGCUAGGAGGCGGGAGAGGCAAGCGGUACUCAGUGGGUAGGGGUAAAAUCCUCUGAUCCACUGAAGACCACCAUUGGCGAAGGCGGCUUGCCAGAACGCGCUCGACGGUGAGGGAUGAAAGCUGGGGGAGCAAACCGGAUUAGAUACCCGUGUAGUCCCAGCUGUAAACGAUGCAGACUCGGUGAUGUGGUUGGCUUUGCGCCAACCCAGUGCCGCAGGGAAGCCGUUAAGUCUGCCGCCUGGGGAGUACGGUCGCAAGACUGAAACUUAAAGGAAUUGGCGGGGAGCACACAAGGGUGAAGCCUGCG